AGGAUGAACGCUGGCGGCGUGCCUAAUACAUGCAAGUCGAGCGGUAAGACCCCUUCGGGGGUACACGAGCGGCGGACGGCUGAGUAACACGUAGGAACGUACCCCAAAGUGAGGCAUAAGCACCAGAAAUGGUGUCUAAUACCGCAUGUGAUCUUCGGAUUAAAGCUUCGGCGCUUUGGGAACGGCCUGCGCAUGAUUAGCUUGUUGGUGAGGUAAUAGCUCACCAAGGCGACGAUCAUUAGCUGGUCUGAGAGGAUGACCAGCCAGACUGGGACUGAGAACGGCCCAGACUCCUACGGGAGGCAGCAGUAGGGAAUUUUCCACAAUGGGCGAAA
rnacentral:rRNA from 1 species